UCCCACGCCGACCGCCGGCCCUCGCCUCUCUCGCGCCCCGGGAUCCCCCGGCCCCCGGAUAGACACCCUCUCCGGCACGCGGUCCCCUGACCCGCGCUCCUCCUGGUCGCGCUUCCCGGGACCUACACGUGGGGUCCGAGGACGCGGGCGGAGGGGGCGGCCCGAUUGGGGCCUGUGAGGGGCCCUCCACGCAGGGCUUUGUCUUGGGCCACCCGGACACGGACGCGUCCAGCUGGCGUCCCUGGGCGCGCGGCCGGCUCUCUCUGGGAAUCAGUCCCUUCUACUGUCAUCGAGUUUGGAGAAGCCCGGCUGUACAGCGUUUUCUUUCCUUUUUUUUUUUCCCUUGGGGGCAGAGUUGAAAAUAAUUUGCCAAGUGGAAGCAUUUUAAAUAUAUCACCAUUUGGGCCGGGCGCGGUGGCUCACGCCUGUAAUCCCAGCACUUUGGGAGGCCGAGGCGGGCGGAUCACCUGAGGUCAGGAGUUCGAGACCAGCCUGACCAACAUGGUGAAACCCCCGUCUCUACUAAAAAUACAAAAAAUUAACCGGGCGUGGUGACAGGUGCCUGUAAUUCCAGCUACUCGAGAAGCUGAGGCAGGAGAAUCGCUUGAACCCUGGAGGUGGAGGUUGCAGUGAGCCGGGAUUGCGCCACUGCACUCCAGCCUGGGCAACAAGAGCGAGACUCCAUCUGAAAAAAAGAGAGAGAGAAAGAAAGGAAGAAAAGAAGAAAAGAAAAGAAAGAGGCAUGACAGUGCGGCCACAGGUGUUCCUCUAACUGGGCACGCAGCGGUGCUCCACUAAGCAAACGAAGGAAGCCCACCCCAUCAUGCCCCCACUCCCACGCAGCCCGGAGCAUCCUCCAAUACCCAAACCUCUCGCCUGCCUGGGUUUUAGGGGGAGUGAAGCUCCAGUCACUUCCCCCUGAGGACAUGCUCAGAGUUCAUCUGAUUCGGGCCUGCAUCUGGGGCUCUGGAUAGUCAGGGUCCCUGUCGGUGGCCAAGAUUAAGGGCGAAGUCAGAAGGGAUCACUGGCAGCCCAUUCCCCUGCCAAGGGGUGAGAGGAGCUGCCUUAUUUUUUCUGUGCUGUAUCUUAGAUGAUGACAGGCUAUUCUAGCACAUCAUUUCAGAAGGCCUGGGAUGCUUCUGCCACAGCGGCAGGGCCACGCGUUCUGGCUAUCUGUCUACCUGGUCCCCCCACCGUGAACACGUAAUGACCACCACCAACACUGGGAGGCUGCUCUGUGGUGGCCAUGGGAAGAGCUUGUCCAGAUGGACAGCUCAAACCUGGGGCACGGAGGCUAGCAUCGCCUAGGCGCUUUGAGAGCCAAGCUCCCCAGGCUGUUACAAAAUCACUUUUCCCCAAGUGAUAACAGCAAGUAACACUUUUACCUAAAAACCCAAAAACCCAAAAUGGACAGCCCUCUGGGCCAGGGAUACACUGUCAAAAGGACUGACUCUGAAGGAAGUCUCCCAGCCCUGGGUCCCCUCCCCUUCCUUUCUGUCCCUCAGGACCUUUGCGAAGGUGGCAGAGGACCACCGGACAGGGAGGAAAUUGGGAAGUUGGUGACAAUUAACUCGUUUCAGAAUUCUGGCCACAUGAAAAAAAGGAGAGAAGGAGGCUGGGUCCUCUCCAAGACUGGUGCCCAGGUCUCCCCUGAGUCAGGAAGCAGGUGAUCCCUAUGCCCCCUCUGUAUCGCCCUCAGCCAGCGGCAGGCCCUGAACAGCUGACUGCCCUCAUCUGGGAUCUGCCAUUGACCCCAAAACACCCACCCCCUCUGAGUAAAGGAUGUCGGCCGGACCCUGUUUGUUGGCUAACGUGAGCGAGACCCCUCCUCAGCGGCCAGUGAGGCCCCUUCCUCACAUUCUUCAUGGCAGCAGCACAGGCCUGGCUGUGGGGACCGCCGUCUAAAAGGAGCAACAGUGCGUCUGUCCAUCGCUGUGUCCAGGGCCUCUCGAGACCCCCAGAUGGGCGUGGGGGAGGAGGAGGCUGCUCAGACCCUCAGGAGCCCAGCCUGCCCUGACUGUGAUCCCAGGCCACUUCCUUCCUCAGCCUUCCCCCAGAGCACGCUAGGAGGGGCCGCCAGGAGGGGCAAGUGCCCACAGUCCCCUCAGAAGAGACUGCUGGUCCAGAGGCAGGGAGAAGCUGGCUGGAGCCUGGAGGAUGAUGGCCCCGGCGUCAGGAGUUUCGGCAACUGGACCCUUGAGCAGAGGCAAGCAGUACCCAGAUUCUGUGUCCAGCGGCCGCCCUCAGCCGGGCUCCCUCCCAGUGCCACAGAUGCCCACAGUGCACAGAUGCCCGCCGGGCACUGCUGAAGCUGCUUCGUCACAGCCAAUGCUUGCCUUACCCAGCCUGACUGUGGUCUCCAGACACUAAUGGAGGUACUGGGUGCCUCGCAAAUGCUUCUA
rnacentral:lncRNA from 10 species